UACAGGGGGUGCAAACGUUGCUCGGAAUCAUUGGGCGUAAAGCGCACGUAGGCGGUUCGUUAUGUCGGAUGUGAAGGCCCUUGGCUUAACCGAGGAAGUGCAUCCGAAACUGGCGAGCUAGAGUACGAAAGAGGAUCGCGGAAUUCCCGGUGUAGAGGUGAAAUUCGUAGAUAUUCGCAAGAACACCAGUGGCGAAGGCGGCUCACUGGCCCGGUACUGACGCUGAGGUGCGAAAGCGUGGGGAGCAAACAGGG
rnacentral:rRNA from 1 species